rnacentral:lncRNA from 1 species
CAAUGUAUUAACAUAUUUAUGGAUUUCAGAAAAUAUAUUUUAAAUAUAAAAAAAAAACACAAAAAAAAAUUACAUUUGAGCAUACAUUUUUUAAUCACAAAGUCACAUCUGAAAAAGGGCAGUCAAAACCAACGAAACAAAUCGAUAAGUAGAACAAAAAGAGAACACCAUUGGCCCGGUAUCAAAAGUAGGAAAAUACAAAAAUUAACCCCCCCCCUUUUUUCCCCGAAAAUAACAUAUUACAGAGGCAC